rnacentral:rRNA from 1 species
CUUGGCGACCAUAGCGUUUUGGACCCACCUGACUCCAUCCCGAACUCAGAAGUGAAACGAAAUAGCGUCGAUGGUAGUGUGGGG